UGAAAGUGCAAGUUACAGAAAGGGAGGUUUUGAAGUAUUUAGGCUGAUGGGGGCACACGGGUUCGAACGCCGGUCCGGGAAGAUCCCACAUGCCGCGGAGCGACUAAGCCCGUGUGCCACAACUACUGAAGCCCCCGCGCCUAGAGCCCGUGCUCCGCAACAAGAAGCCACCGAAAUGAGAAGCCCGCGCACCACAAUGAAGAGCAGCCUCCGCUCGCCGCAACUAGAGAAAGCCCAUGCGCAGCAACGAAGACCGAACACAGCCAACAAUAAAUACAUAAAAUAAUUUAUUAAAAAAAAAACAAAACACCUUUGGAUUGCAAAUCUUACGUGGACAUGAAAGGAGGAAAAGAGAAAAAUCCACUGAAAGAUCACAUACAGAACAACAUGGACUGCAGAAGAAAUCAGAAGAAAUCUAUAAAAUAGCCACAAUUUUCUGAACAUUAAAGGGAAAAAGCUAC